AGCCCACUCCCACUUGCUGUCUGCAUCCCUAUAAGAGGCUGCUGAAGUUCCUCCUCUUCAGUCUUUCUCCUGCAUUGACUGAGCAAGGACUGUCUGUUGCUGCAGCUGCUCCUGCCUGGCCAGGUAACCGUGAGGCUGACCAGCUACCUCCUGUGCUCCACUGCCAUGGAGCCAGCUGAGUCUAGUCUGGGUGAUUUCUAAAGCAUCGAGGGGUGAGGAACACCCAAACCAUCACAUCCAGGGUGAUGAGAAGCAGCCACAAAAUAUAUUGAUCAAUGGUGGAUCUUCACUGGCAUCUGUUGGAUUUACUCCAUCUAUUUUGGCACUUGGAGCAACCUGAAGAAGUGUAAAUGAACCUUUUAUCCACCUCACUGAUGAUCGAAAACUGGGAGGAGUGGUUGACACAUCAGAGUUGUGUUGCUGUUCUGUGAGAGUUGGGUGGAGAGAAACUUCAUGUCAGUGUGGAGUCCUGCAUCUGAAGAGUAAUAACCUGGAAAGCAUCUCUGAGGAGAAGGACCUGGUGGACGGGGGAAGUGCUUUGAACUGCUUUGGAAAUGUAACAGUGCUUGUGAGCUGGAGACUGGAAGAAUUCCUCCCAGGAGCCAAGGUGGACUUUCCUAGCAUGUGCAAGCUAAUCUGUCAGCCAGGACCUGGGAGGGGUCCCAACUCUUCCUCCAUAGACUUGGCUGCAUGUUCCUGCCUCCUCUCUUGUAUGGGAUACAGUGAUUGUACGGCCACGAGACGAGUCAGAUGAGUUUGUUGAUCCAUUGGCGAGUGAAUCCAACAAGCUGAUGCAGCUUACGUGGUUGAAGGAAGAGGAGGACUGAGUAGAGAUAACACAUUUCAGAAUAAAGGACUGAAUGUAACAUGAAUCAGUGUAACGUUUAUUCUUGUCUGUCACUGUUAUUACUUAACACACCGAAGAGUUUUUUCUAUCAUAAAAUGAUCAGGAGAUGUAAGAACUGCUGGGAAGAGUUGUUUAAUUCUUAACUAAAUGUCUGGCUAACAUGUCAAAUACAGCAAUUCUGGAGUAAGCCUGAGCAAAAUGUAAUCAGUAUCCAA